rnacentral:lncRNA from 1 species
AGUUAGGUGUGGCCAAGCUUUGGCCAGUGGAAUUUGAACAGAAGUCACGUGUCCAAAUCCCAUGCCUGGUCUAUAAAAUCUUCCCAUCCGUAAUCUUCCUGCUUUCUUUACUCACUGAAUAGAUAAAAAUUCCAGGGACCUGGAAGAGUGUAGGGCCACAAGCUGGAAGUAGCCUAGAUCCCGAGGAACAUCAUGGAAAACAGUGCCCUCACCCCUUCCCGUGAGCCGACCAGGAGGCAACACAACUACACACUGUGUGAACUGAACCUCAGAUACCACUGGCCUGUCACCAACAGAUUUUGAAGCAAAUGAUGUGAUUGUUCACCGAUUAUCAGUGCAUCUGUUAUUUACAUAGUGAUUUGUGAACUGACAAGUUAGCAGCAGUUUCUGCUUUAUGCAAUUGUUCUGUUAAUAGACUGUGAUUGUGGAAGGAGUCUUUGGACUAGGCAGAAAGUGAUCAAUUUCCUCUCAUAUUACCCUCAACCUGCGGCCUAUUUGUACUCCUGAUUGGAUAAAAGGGUUAAGAAGAACAAAAUGGUUGGAGAGAUUUUUGAAUUUUUAUGAUAAUUAUUUGGUGUCCCAGGAUCUACUGAAUGUCUCAAGAGAGGAACUUUUUUCCACUUCACAAAUUCUAAUUUUUGACUUGAUAAAGAAUGAUGAAUAUUUGUCACACAGAUAUUUAAAUGGAAUCAGGGCUGUAUAUAACCAUGACAUAAUACUUUGUCAAAAAGUGAAAAGUUAAUCUGGUUGAAGGUAUUUUUACCUGGCAUAUGGAGAAGAUGAUGACAAUAAUGUGGAACUUGAUUAGACAUCAACAGAGACUCAAUGCCUCCUGGAAAACACCUGAGAAAUGAUUGAAGCUCGCUCUGGUCUUGCCUGGAAUCAUGCAUAACAUUUGUUGCUGCCUGCAUGUGGAUUCAUUUUAGCAGUUUAUCAAUUUGGACAGGGAAUUUUGAAUAAAAAAUUUUGGCAGUCAUUAUAGUGACUCUUCUGAGACUGAAAAUUCAGGUAACAAGGAAAAUCAGUGACUCUUUCUCUCUGCUUUCUUCAAAACACAAAUAAUCCAAUGAUGUAUAGGCUGCAUUGCCCUUUGAUUUGUUACCUUAGAGAUCAUUACAUGUUAGUACAUAAAGAAACUUCCCAAUCUUCUUUUAUAGCAUCCAGGUACUCCAAUGUGUAAUUCAGCCAUAACUUAAUAAAAUGGACUCUGUUUGAUAAACAUUUGGAUUAUUUCAAAUAUUUUACUAUUAUAAAGAAUGUUGAA